rnacentral:rRNA from 1 species
CGCGCGCGGUAAUUCCAGCUCCAAUAGCGUAUACUAAAGUUGUUGCAGUUAAAACGCUCGUAGUCGGAUUUCGGGGCGGGCCCGCCGGUCUGCCGAUGGGUAUGCACUGGCGGGCGCGUCCUUCCUCCCGGAGACGGCUGCUACUCUUAACUGAGCGGUGGCCGGAGACGGGAUAUUUACUUUGAAAAAAUCAGAGUGUUUCAAGCAGGCAGUCGCUCUUGCAUGGAUUAGCAUGGGAUAAUGAAAUAGGACUCUGGUGCUAUUUUGUUGGUUUCGAGCACCGGAGUAAUGAUUAACAGGGACAGUCAGGGGCACUCGUAUUCCGCCGAGAGAGGUGAAAUUCUCAGACCAGCGGAAGACGAACCACUGCGAAAGCAUUUGCCAGGGAUGUUUUCACUGAUC